GGCAAAUAACCAAGAGGAAGGUUUGUAUAAUGGAUCUUUUCACAAGAAACAAAGAUCUGAAAGGUAUAUCUCACCUUUACAAGACCCUGAGUCUCCUUUCUUUUUAACCUCCGGUGAUCAUCCGGGGGCAAUUUUAGUUCCCGAUAGACUAGUUGGAGAAUCCAACUAUAUUACUUGGUCUAAUGGGAUGAAGGUAUCUUUAAUCUCUAGAAGAAAAGAUGCUUUCAUCUCUGGACA
rnacentral:lncRNA from 1 species